UACGAAGGGGGCUAGCGUUGCUCGGAAUCACUGGGCGUAAAGGGCGCGUAGGCGGCGUUUUAAGUCGGGGGUGAAAGCCUGUGGCUCAACCACAGAAUGGCCUUCGAUACUGGGACGCUUGAAUAUGGUAGAGGUUGGUGGAACUGCGAGUGUAGAGGUGAAAAUUCGUAGAUAUUCGCAAGAACACCAGUGGCGAAGGCGGCUCACUGGCCCGGUACUGACGCUGAGGCACGAAAGCGUGGGGAGCAAACAGG
rnacentral:rRNA from 1 species